UGUACUCCCUGGAGUUCAGAAGAAUGAGGGGUAUCUCACUGAAACCUACCGAAUGUUGAAAGGCCUAGACAAUGGAUGUGAAGAGGAUGUUUCCUGCAGUGGGGGAGUCUAAGAUUAGACAGUAUAGCUCAGAUCACAAGGAUGCCCUUUUAGAACAGAGAUAAGGAGGAAUUUCUUUAGCCAGAGGGUGGUGAAUCUGUAGUAUUCGUCGGCACAGACAACUGUGGAGCCCAAGUUAUUCAGUGUAUUUAAAGUAGAGGUUGAUGGGUUCUUGAUUUGUGAAAGUGUCAUAAGUAAUGGGGAGAAGGUAGGAGAGAAGGGUUGAGAAGGAUAGUGAAUUGGCCAGGAUGGAAUGGCAGAGCAGACUCAAUAGAAUGAAAGGCCCAAUUCUGCUCCUCUAUCUCACGGUCCUUUUGACCACUGGUGUUGAAGACUCUGCACUCGAAGGUUAUCAAGGUGGACAUGGGAUGAAGCAUGUCCAGAGUUUACACCUCUGCUCUGCACUUGAAGGCUGGCCGGGAUCAUAUGUGCAGUUCCACUGGGGUAGUUGAAGGACCAUUGUAAUCAUGCCUGCGACGGAGUCCGAGUUUGCUGGAGUGUGAAGAAGAUGGACUGUCUUGGGGUUGGAGGACAGCUGUUGCUUCGUGUCUUCUAUGCUUUUCUGCCGAACUUGGGACAGAGGCUCAUUACUGCUCAAAGAAGAGAACGAACAUUUAGGAUACCACUGAGAACAUUUGCUCACUUUGUUUGGAACACUUGGAAAUGGUAAUUGGAACACAUGACCCCUCACGCCACAUAUGCCGCUGCCCUGUGAAGGACUUGCUGGCCCAUCUGCGGAAGAGUUUUCAGGCUCCACAUUGGCCAUCAAGGGACUUCAGGAGACUGGAGUGGAAACAAGUUAUCUUUGAUCCCAAAGGACAAUGUAAGAAUAAGACUGAUUUUUUUUCAGCUGGGUAGUGGAAGAUCACAUGAUUUUAAUCAAGAAAGAAUAGAGAAUUCUCGUCAACGUCUUGGCUAACACUGAAUCUACUUAGGCAACACCCAAAUAAUUGACUAUCUAUCUGCUGUGCUUUGGGUGUUGGCUGAGUGUGAUUGGAUAAGUGGUUGCCUUACUGCAUUGUCUACAUUGCAAAGGAUUGACUGGCUGGAAUGAAAAUCUUACCAGUUUGGCAUGUCAGAUUAUGGAAUUAGUCAACGCCCAGUAGCAGAUUCGUCUUUCAAGACUGGUUCACAGGCAAACUUGAAGGAAUUGUGACAUUCCUGGCCAGGAGCUAUUGUAAAAUUGUCAUCCGAAUAUAUUGCCAGUUAAACAAGUUAGAUAUUUGUAAGUUCUUCCAGCCCAACUAGCGUCACUUCCCAGCAACCCCCAAUUUGACACUAGCCUAAUCACAGGACAUUUUACAAAGACCAUUUAGCCUGCUAGCCAGUAUGUCUUUGGAAAGCGGGAGGACGCUGGAGCACCCGGAGGAAACCUGUGUGUUCACAAACCCCUUCCAGAUGGUGUUGGAAUUGAACUCCGAACUCUGACGCCCCAUUGUGCUAUUAUGGUGCCCAAUUGACCCUGGCCCAUUGUAGCGUGAUGUCUGAUAGAUUGCCCAAUUCAAAGGCUAUGGGGUGGAACUCUUCAGAGAAGCUGGUUCCACCUAGAUCAGGAACGAGAGGACGUCGGUUUAAAGUGGGAGGGUAAAGAUUUUAUUAUCUUUAUUUAUUUAGCGAUACAGCAUUGCAACAGGCCCUGAAGGCCCAAAGAGCCUGUACUACCCAAUCACGCAAUGUGACUGAUAAACCUACUAAUUUGUACGUCUUUGGAACACCCUGAGGAAACCCGAGAGGUCACGGGAGAACAUUGCAAACUCCUUACAGACCAUGGAAUUAAACCUGGGUCACUGGCACCGUAACAGCGUGAUGCUACCGUGUUGCCCAGGUUUUAACAGAAACUUGAGGAAAAAGCUUUUCAUGGAGUACGUG